AUUAGUCGACGUGCGGGUGCAUGAAGUUUGUAGUACUUCAAGUAGCCAGUGUCACAAAAAUGGCUAUUACUGUGGAGUAAUCAACAACUAGCUGAUUGUUUUUGCUGAGUAUAUCCAUGCUUUUGUCAUGUCAGGCUAUCAUUUUGCUAGCUUGUGCUUGAAAAAAUGAGUUCUUCGUUAAUUGCGUAUCGUGGAUUAAGAGUGAAUGCAUCACUCUUUCAUGGUGCUUUCACUGACUAAGUUUCGAAGGGUCUAGUUAACAUGCUAACUGCAAGUAGAAAUAACUAAU
rnacentral:lncRNA from 1 species